ACCUCGCCCUGAAGAUGUCUCCACAAAACAAUUAAGUCAUACUCUUGAAUUCAUCCAAAAACCAGGUCCUGAAGUCUUGUGCAUCCACCGCAGAAAUCAUCGGGAUCCUUUUCAACUCCUACUCAAAGCUCCGAGUCUCCGAAAAAUGGAGAGAAGUAAUUCCUGAGGACGUGUUUCAGAUGUAUCAGCCUUUUUACCAGUCUCUCUUCAUGCUGUCUCACACCCCGAGGUGUCUGCAACAUCUGUGCCGUUCUGUCAUCCGCAAGCACCUUGGCAGCAAGUGCUGGUCCUGCAUUCCCCGGCUGCCUGUACCAGACCCUGUGCAGCAUUAUCUCCUGCUGGAGCCAGAGGGCUUGUUGCUCUGAAUGGUCAGAGGGAUCGGGGCCAUGGAGACAGAUGAAUCUACAGUUAAACCACCUUCAUUUUCAAGCUUUUGUUUUCCCAUGGUCAACAGCCCAUGAGGGGCCACAGCCCCGGAGUGGUCAGGAGUCUCAAGAUGGGCUGAUAGCCCAGAAUAAGUCACACACACACACCCCAAAUCAUUAAGACUGUCACUACCCAAAGCAUGCUAGCGUGGCUGGAAAUGAGCAUUUCCAUGAGGAAGGGAAAAGUAAUUGGCCCAUCAACAACAACUUGUUGAGGGCUCACUGUGUAUUAGGCACUGGGCUAAGUUCUAGGGAGCUUCUGUUCUAAUGAGGAGAGCUAACAUGUGGCUUCCUAGGUCUAGACAAAAUGGCUUCUCCAUGCACUUAGGGUGGGGAAGGGGCUGGUCAUAAGCUGGCGAAGUUUGGCUUAUGGGGCUCACACUUGAAAUUGUCAGGGCUGCCUUCAUCAGUCUCUGAAUGUACCUUUGAGACCAAAAUGACCCAUGAAAUCCCAGCCCUUCCUUGAAGAGUUCUGAACAGCAAUAAUCUCUGACAUCUGCAUGGCCCUCCGAGAUUAGCAGAGUAUGAUACAGACAAUGCUGCCUUUGAUUCUCACAAGCACCCUGUGAGGUCAGUGCUAUCACUCUGUCCUUUUUACAGAAGAGGAAACAGAGGCCCAUGGACACACUAGUUCUGUGUUGGAGCCACACCUCCUGCCUUCCAAUUCUACCCUUUCCCCAUCCCAGCAGGCACCUGGGCUCUCCUUGGCUACAGCUUUCAUUGCUUUUGCCCCUUUUUCACAUCUUUAUGACUCUGGUCUGUCCUUGUUCAUCUAAGAUACAGAUUACAGAAAAAGGUUGAACAGGGCCUCAAAUAAAGGAUUCAGAUAGCCCUGGCUGUCCCACUGACACUGGCUUCUGACCAAUUGAAGGCCUAAGUUCAUGCUUAGCCAAAAAUGAAGGGAGAACCUGAAUCCACUUCAAUUCAAAAAGCUUUUAAUAAAAGCUGUCAGAGCUCUGUCCGUGGAACUCUCUGUCAGAAAAGCUCUGUCAGAGCCCCGAGAGUCAGGAGGCCUCCACCAAGACUGGCUGUGUGAUAUCAGGCAAAUUUCUUAACUUCUCAGUGCUCUAGACACUCCCUGAAACAAUUGAUUGUGUGUGUAGAGGGAGGGUGCCAACUUGCAGUGGUAGAAGAAGGGAAUUCCCUGUACUAAGAAAUCCCAAGACCCACCCCUAUUCCUUACUAUGCGAUAAGACCAAAGCACAGGACCUGGAAGACACUUUAGUCCAACCCUCUUCUGAACAGGAAAGUGAGGGAGGUCCACUGAGGCAGCAUGAUCCACCCGGGCUCACAAAGCUAGUAAGUGGAAUUCAAGCCCAGGUCCUCACAACUUCAAGCCUAGCACCCAAUCUAUGCCAUCGAGGGGUCAGGCAAUCUGCUAGGUGUGGCAGAGACAGAGAAAUAGCCCAGCACAAAGCUCUUGUUCAAGGAACUUUCUGGAGUUGCUAGAGGGCAGAGCUUCUUAUGUUUUGUAUGUGUGGCCCUAGAACUUUGACCAGUGCCUGGCAUACAGUUGGUACCUAAUAAAUGCCUAGAGAUGGAUUGGAGGAAGUUAGGGACUUUAAGGGCUGGAAGGGGGAGGAGGAAGUACAUGCUAGGCAUAUGGACAGUCUGUACAAAGACAUGGGGGCUGGAAGUUAAAUGUUGAGUUCAGGGAAGAACUAGAGGCCAAGUUUGGCAGGAAUGUCGUCAUCUGGUCAAAGCAAAUUUGUUUUUAUCUUCAUUGAAUGUAAGGCAUAUUUCAAUGUCUGUGAGAUCCUGGGGUUCUUUUGCAGGGAGUCUGAUAGAGGAGAAUGUAGUAAUGUCUUUAAGGGGAAAUGGAAACCAGUGUAGGGAGUUGUAAGACAAGGCUGACGGGUUUGCAUUUGAUCCCAGAGGCAAUGGAGAAGUUCCUUCAGCAGGAAAGGAAGAAAGGACGCAGGUAUUUACUAAGCUCCUUCUGUGUGCUAGGACUCAGCUUCCUCUGAAGCUAAGGCACUGGGGGAUACAAAGACAAAUGAAGGCCCUGCUUUCAGGGAGUACAAACAGAUCAGUAAUCUGGAGCAAGCUGAGGACCUCUGGGAGACCACCUGGGCAAAGACCGGAAGCUGGAGAUGGGAUGUUGCGGGUGGGUGAUGGCAGCAAGGCAAGCUAACUCAACUCAAUUCAACUCCAAGUUUAUUAAGCCCCUACUCUGUGCCAGGCACUAUCCUAAGCCCUGGGGACACAGAGCGCAAAAUGAACCAGUCCUUGCUCUUAAGGAACCAAAACUCUGUUGCAGCAGGAGCAGAACAAAGAGCCCCACUGGCAACUAGAGGAUGUGAGUGCGGAUCGUGUCCCUGUUAUUCCCUAGUCACGCAGCCUUGGGCAUCGCUCUCCCUUGUAAAACGAGGGGCUGGGACUAGCUGACCUCCAAGGUCCUUGCCGGCUUUGGGGCUGGACGUAGUGAGUGCAUUGAGGAGGGAGAGAGCAUCACGGGGGACUUCGCCAAGGGCGUGGAGCCUCAGCUGAACCUGGAAGGAAACGGUGGCGGCUCACACGUCUGUGGCGAUUUAAAGUCUGGAAGCCACUUCAUGGACACUGUUUCAUGUGAUGCUCACAGCAACCCUGGAAGGUAGAUGCUACUAUCGCCCCCACUUUACAGAUGACGAAGGAUAAGGGACUUACUUGGCCAUACAGCUAUUAAGCGUCUGAGGCAGGAUUUGAACUCAGGUCUUCCUGACUCUGGGUCCAGUAUUUGACCAACCUAGCUGCCAAAGGGGUGGAGGGAAGUGGAAUGUGAAUUCGGGCAUGAAAGAGCUGGUGGGAAUCCGAGGAGGCAAGUUGAGGGAACAGAUACUAGUCUAAGGAAGAUUAAGCCAAAUACCCAAGGACAUGGGUCCUUCCUCAUGGGAACGCCCAUUUCUGGACAUGCUAGGCUGCUUUGGGCAGUGACUGGCUGUACCUCCCAGCUGGUUCUCACACCCAACUCAGCCAACUCAAAAAGCCUGAGGACAGAGGAACCUCAACUCUCCAAAAGGUGACUCAAUGUAUCAAACAGAACUGUCUUUGAAACCAUUUUCCCAAGCGUGAUGACAUAGCCUUUAUAUUCCCACAGUGUUGAAACUCUUCCAAACCUAAAGUCAGGACUGGCCUUACCUAUUGGUGCAGCUAAAUGUGCUGUCCCCAGUAAAGGACCCUUACAAAAAAAUGUCUCCCAGCCAGUACCUCCAGUUUCACCAUUAAUUACGCAUUUCUUAGUGUUAACUUCUCUCUGGGCUUCGGCAAAUAAAGAGAAUUGGGCUUAAUGACCUCUGAGGUUCCUUCGAGCUCAAACUAGAAGAUCCCAUGAAUCAAUUCCUAGAAAGGGUAAAGGAUAAACACCUAAUACUUUCAUAUCAGAUUUCUCCCCCUCCAGUCACAGUAGACUCCACACUUAAUAACAAAAGCACUGUAGGGGCCAAUGUAAAGGUGGGGAAGGGGAGCAGCAAGAGGCUGCUGAAGGGAAAAGGUUCCUGCUUCACCUGGAGCCAGCUCUGCGAAGUCCAAAUGGCCAGUAAAGGACGCCACCUCACACUGGAUAAAGGCACUGGACUCAGAGUCAGGAAGACCCGAAUUCAAAUCCUGCUUUAACACCCAUGUUAGCUGUGUGACCCUGGGUGAGUUACUUAACCUCUGUUUGCCUCAGUUUCCUUAUCUAUAGAAUAGAGAUAACAGCUGCUACCUCCCUGGGUGGUCACAAGCAUCAAGUGAGACAAUAUGGGCAGAGGGCUUUGCCCUUUGUUAAGACCUUAUAUCAUUGUUAGUUGUUCAUUAUUAUAUGACUUAGCAAAUUAAAAAUGGCCAACUGACCAUC